rnacentral:lncRNA from 13 species
CAAUAUACCACAGACUUGGAGCAACUGAAUUAGGAAUUAAUAGGGAAAAAAAAGAAGAUUCAGAGAAAAAAACACCCCAAAUCACAAAUGAAACAGCUCCUGCCCUCAAUCUUAUGUCUAAGCCAAGAAAUAUAUUAAAACUUGGUUUUAACUUGUAAGUAUUGGCAAGCAAAGUCAAUCCUAGAGCAAUCACAGAGGAAUAAAAUAGCAGCCAUAAAAACCAGACUGGAUACUGAGAGAUAAACUCCUGCACAUCCAUUUACACAAUUAUUAAGUGCCAGAAUAACUGCAAUUCAUUUAGGAGUUGAAAUCAUAUCAUAAAUCAGUCCUCAGCCACAUGUUAAACAAAAAAUACCAAUUUUAAAACAUAAUUGCUGAGUGUGGCAUUAGUAAUUGUAAAUUAGUAAUUGCAUGUUGUAAGUACAGAUGCUUAUCCCUUUAGGUUGCUCACAGUUCUGCAUGCAUGUUUUGCACUACCAUUUGGUUCCCAGAGGUAUCACAUUCCACGUUAUUUAUUCCCAGGACAGUGUAUGGCAGAUUUCCAUGUACCUACUUGGCCUGUUUGCUCAAUGGACUUGUGCUGCAUCAUUUGCCCAGUGAUCACAUACAUGACUAGCAGUCCUUCUUGCUAGGAGUCUUAACAGAAAGAGAGGGUUCUCCAGGCUGCAGCAGUGAGGUUUAGUCCUGAUAGAACAACUUCCAAAUACCAUUGACUAUUACAAUGACAAAGCAGAACACAUGAUUCCUGUUCACAGGGCAUUAGUAUGUGUAGCUGUAAAACUCAACCUUCGCUAAAGGUUUUACUUAUAUUGCAGUAUUUCAUCCUUACAGCUUGUUUCAGAAGAGAGGGAAUGUGUUGCAUCCUUGACAGACAUGCAGUUGCUGAUUGCCUGUGAUGGUUUGUUGCUCCUGAGCAGACGUGGUGAGGAUGAGGCAAGGGGUCAUGCCUGUUUCCCUCUAUUCUCUCUGGUUGCUCAUGGCAGAUUGGCUGAAAUUUGCUGACAGUUUGAAAAGAUACGUGGAGGAGCUGGGGGACCAACAGAUGGACAGACAGCCAUGGCAACUGUAUAAGCCUCAUUUCUUCAGAAAACCACACUUAAAAUAGAAGAAAAAUACAGUGGCUGACAGAUUUGAUUAACAUAAACAUACAAGGUUUUUAUUCCAUUAGCAUUCUUACUGGUCUAAAUAUUGCAAGAGAGGUUUAGUUGCCAUUUCUGAUAGAAAAUAAUUCAGCUGUGCAACAUUCUGUCUGCAAAGACUCCCUCAGACUGAAUUUCUAGGCAAAAAACACCCUUUCCCACUGCUUCUUCUCAUUAGUCAAGAGUUGCCUCUAACAGACACAGAGCAAGCUCUUAAACUUGCCUUGCGGAUUUUUUUCUUCUCUCUGUUUAUUCAUAUUUAACUUGGAAGAGCUGCAGACUGAGUAAGAAUAUUAAGACUCAUACUUGAAACAAUGCGUUAUGUACUAAGGGUAUAAAUCAAAGUCAUGAUGUCAGUGGAAAGACUCUCGUUAAAUUCAAUAGGUUUGGAGCGUCAGCUAAUAGAGAGUAGAAACUCUUGGUGAGAAAGUAUCAGCAUCUCAUGUGACUGAGGUCCUCCAGGCAGCUGAGUUGAGCCACCCUGUGUGUGCUGGGGCCAGGCAAAGUAAAUCCAAGCAGCACCACGCAGUGGCUUCCAGAAAUGCUAACCUGAACAAGCCCUCCAGUAAUAUAGCUGUUAGGGCUGUUUCUAGCAUUGAUGCAGAUUGUGAUACCUCUUCUUUUGAGUCUAAAAGGGUUGUAUGCUCUCAUAACACCUAAAAAUUAAUAAAAACACUCCUCUGCUCAAUCUCUGAUUUUGGGAUUAAAGUUCCUGACUUAUCCUUUCAACCAAGACUGUAGCUAGGAUGUCUUGUCUGAAUGCUGCCUUCAAUUUUUAACACCUUGACCACAAAUCAGAUACAUUUUUCUUCAGUAAUUCAACACAGCCUUUAGGACACUACUAGAUGAUACACUAGAAUCAUCUAGGGACUUAGAGGAACAUGUCCAAAUGAAAUGGAAUUUAACCUAAGGAAAAAGUCACUACAAAUUCCACCUAAAAUUCACCUUGGAAUAUCUUUGAUAAGUGGUGAGCAGAUCUUUUUUGGGUAGGAG